GAUGAACGCUAGCGGCAGGCCUAAUACAUGCAAGUCGAGGGGCAGCGGGGUAGCAAUACUGCCGGCGACCGGCGCACGGGUGCGUAACACGUAUGCAACCUACCUUAAACUGGGAGAUAGCCCGGGGAAACUCGGAUUAAUACCCCAUAAUAAAUUUGGUUCACAUGAAUUGAUUGUUAAAGAUUUAUCGGUUUAAGAUGGGCAUGCGUUCGAUUAGCUAGUUGGUAAGGUAACGGCUUACCAAGGCUACGAUCGAUAGGGGGUCUGAGAGGAUGAUCCCCCACACUGGUAAUGAGAUACGGACCAGACUCCUACGGGAGGCAGCAGUAGGGAAUAUUGGUCAAUGGAGGCAACUCUGAACCAGCCAUGCCGCGGGUAGGAAGAAGGCGUUCUGCGUUGUAAACUACUUUUGAUUGGGAACAAAUGACUCUUGCGAGAGUAGCUGAGUGUACCAAUAGAAUAAGCCACGGCUAACUACGUGCCAGCAGCCGCCGUAA
rnacentral:rRNA from 1 species